GCUAAAAUGAAUGACUCUUCCUGCUCACUUAAACCUGUGCUCAAAAUGACAUAUUUGUCAGGCACCCUCUUCAUUUACCUUAAAGAAGGAGAGUUUAAUGUCCAUCUUGGUUCUGCCCUAUGAAUCAUCUUGUCAAGAACAGGUGUUCUUAUGCAGAAACAAUGAAAACCUUAUACUGAAGUGUGAACCCUGGAUUUCUUAGUUUCUUCUGAGUCCUAGAAGAAGGGUUGGAAUAGAAUAAUACAUUUACAGGAUUUAGGUUGGUUUUCUUUCUGUCCAGUCUCAUCUGAAUUUCGUCUGUCUCUUGUGGUCCAGAAGUUCCACAGAGCAACGCAGCUGCAUGUGGUGACAGGUAGAGCAGUUAAAGCUGCCAAUAGGAACUCGUCCAUAUUCCACACACCUGGUAUAGUGUUAUGCCCUCCAUGGGCACUUACCUGCAAUAAGCAGAAGCCACUGCCACAUUCCCGUGUAUUGGGAAAAUGGACUACUGUGUGCGAACAGGCCCUUUACCCUAAUGGCAGGGAAGAUGGAUUAUCUUUGGCCAGUGGAGCUGCCAAUCUAGACAUACACAUUCAACUGAAUACAAUUAAAAGCAGUUCUUUAAAUGCAAAUAUAAUUACUCAUCUUUAUAAUACAAUAGUAUUAACUGCCCAUAUGCUCAUAGUAUGAUGAGCCCUGUAUAGCACAAGGUCAACAGGUCCUCUCCUUGUCCUUACAAUCUAAAGCAGAUGACACUGACAUGGACAAACAAGUGCACAUGCAUAGUUGCGGCAGUUUUAGAGAAAUCUAGAAAGCUAGGUAGCAACACUAUGCAUAAAUGUUGUGGUCCAAUGCAUUAGUUUGCUUUAACAAAAAUCUGGGAGGUAUUUUUUCUCUUUAUUCAGGAAGGCUUCAUGAAGCAGGAAGUGGUCAAAGGAGGGAAGGUUACUGGUUAAAUUAUGAUAGGAAGAACUUUCCAUAACUAGUUGCAAAAUUGAGUGCUGGGUGGGUUGAGGAAUGGGAAAAAGGGGGAGCAAGGUGUUUUGUGUAGAUGGAACAAAGGGCAAAGGAUAGACUGUAAGGAAGGCCAGAUAAAGCUUGGAGUAGCAUGAGAACUUGAGGAAUAGUAUGAUAUGGGCUGUGCAGCAGGCAGAGAGAAUCACCUUAGCUGAAACAUGGGUGUUAGGAGCAGACCAUGAGGUGGUAGAACCAUCAUCUAUAGUAAAUCAGGUACUACGCUAUAACUAUUGAUAAGGAAACAGCUGACUGCCACUGAAAGAAUAAGCAGUUUUAGGGGACUAGCUCCUAUGGGAGAUAAAGGUCAGAAAUCGUAGUAUCUGAUGAAGAUAUUUUGAUGAGCAGGUGAGAAGAAAGAUAAACAUGGCCAGAUGGCCAAGGACUGGGAUAAGUAGCCGUUUCACAUUCAAUUAGAAUUCUGUGGCUGGAAUAAGAUCAGGGAGAGCAGUAGGAAGAUAUAGUAUUCUAUAAUUCAUAGCUUGUUGUGUUAGAGAUUAAUUAGGAUUCUGCUGUUGAAUCUUAGUACAAAAAAAUCUAAUAUUUAUUAGGAAUUAAGGGAAGAUGGUACUUCUGUUAUGUUGCCUAAGCAGACAGGAAGCUACAAGAAACACCAGUCUGAAGCAGUGCCUCAGGAUCUCAGAUGAUUUAGGAAGUGUGCUGUAAUGUCAAAAAAAAAAAAAAGUAUUGUCUUUAGUAUAUCUAUGUAUAGUCUCGUGGGAAAAGCAUUGGUUGUGGUAUCAACAGAUAUUCUGGUUCCAGAUGUCUUGUAAGUUAACCUGCCUCCAUUUCCCUUUCUGUAAAGCAAAAUAAUGUUUACACCUAAUCUGUCUCUCAGGGAUACCAUAUUAAUAAAAAUCAUGUCUAU
rnacentral:lncRNA from 1 species